rnacentral:rRNA from 1 species
ACGGGGUGCAGCAGGCGCGAAACCUCUGCAAUGCGCGCAAGCGUGACAGGGGAACUCCAAGUGACUACGUAGUAGUCUUUUAUGAAGUACAAAUAGCUUCAGGAAUAAGAGCUGGGUAAGACCCGUGCCAGCCGCCGCGGUAAUACGGGCAGCUCUAGUGGUCUCCGCGCAUAUUGGGCUUAAAGCGUUCGUAGCCUGUCUGGCAAGUUCUUGGUGAAAGCUUACGACUUAAUCGUGAGAAAUGCCAGGAAUACUACCAGACUCGAGGUCGGGAUAGGUCAGAGGUAUUCUUAGGGUAGGGGUUAAAUCCUGUAAUCCUAAGAGGACCAUCGGUGGCGAAGGCGUCUGACAGGAACGAGCCUGACGGUGAGGAACGAAAGCUAGGGGAGCGACCCGGAUUAGAUACCCGGUUAGUCCUAGCCGUAAAUGAUGCAGGUUUGGUGUAGCGUAACCCACGAGGUUGCGCUGUGCCGAAGGGAAACCGUUAAACCUGCCGCCUGGGAAGUACGGUCGCAAGACUGAAACUUAA